rnacentral:tRNA from 1 species
UGGGGUGUAGCCAAGCGGUAAGGCAUAGGGUUUUGAUCCCUUGAUCCCUGGUUCGAAUCCAGGCACCCCAGCCA